UGGGCCUUAGCUCAGCUGGGAGAGCGCAACACUGGCAGUGUUGAGGUCAGCGGUUCGAUCCCGCUAGGCUCCA
rnacentral:tRNA from 1 species